UACGUAGGGCGCAAGCGUUGUCCGGAAUUAUUGGGCGUAAAGAGCUCGUAGGCGGCUUGUCACGUCGGGUGUGAAAGACCGGGGCUUAACCCCGGUUCUGCAUUCGAUACGGGCUGGCUAGAGUGUGGUAGGGGAGAGUGGAAUUCCUGGUGUAGCGGUGAAAUGCGCAGAUAUCAGGAAGAACACCAAUGGCGAAGGCAGCUCUCUGGGACGGUACUGA
rnacentral:rRNA from 1 species